rnacentral:rRNA from 1 species
AGCAGCCGCGGUAAUUCCAGCUCCAAUAGCGUAUAUUAAAGUUGUUGCAGUUAAAAAGCUCGUAGUUGAAUUUCGGGAUCAAUACGUCGGUCGUGCUUUCGGGUACGUACUGGCGUCAUUGGUUUCUCCUUUCUGACGAACCAUGAUGUCAUUAAUUUGGUGUUAUGGGGAGUUAGGACUGUUACUUUGAAAAAAUUAGAGUGUUUAAAGCAGGCAUUAGCUUGAAUACAUUAGCAUGGAAUAAUGAAAUAGGACGUUCGAUCCUAUUUUGUUGGUUCUAGGAUCAACGUAAUGGUUAAUAGGGAUAGUUGGGGGCAUUAGUAUUCAAUUGUCAGAGGUGAAAUUCUUGGAUUUAUUGAAGACUAACUACUGCGAAAGCAUUUGCCAAGGAUGUUUUCAUUAAUCAAGAACGAAAGUUAGGGGAUCGAAGACGAUCAGACACCGUCGUAGUCUUAACCAUAAACUAUGCCGACUAGGGAUCGGAUGAUGUUAAUUUUUAAUGACUCAUUCGGCGCCUUAC